UCUGCAAUCGCUGCUUUGGAACCACUUC
rnacentral:piRNA from 1 species